rnacentral:rRNA from 1 species
GUCGAGAAUCUUUCACAAUGGGGGCAACCCUGAUGGAGCGACGCCGCGUGGAGGAUAAGGUCUUCGGAUUGUAAACUCCUGUCAUGCGUGAACAAGGUUGCUUGGUUAAUACCUGGGCAAAUUGAUGGUAACGCAAGAGGAAGAGACGGCUAACUCUGUGCCAGCAGCCGCGGUAAUACAGAGGUCUCAAGCGUUGUUCGGAAUCACUGGGCGUAAAGGGUGCGUAGGUGGCGUGGUAAGUCAGAUGUGAAAGCCCGGGGCUCAACCUCGGAACUGCAUCCGAUACUGCCAUGCUCGAGUACUGGAGAGGUGACUAGAAUUCUCGGUGUAGCAGUGAAAUGCGUAGAUAUCGAGAGGAAUACCAAAGGCGUAGGCAGGUCACUGGACAGUUACUGACACUGAGGCACGAAGGCCAGGGGAGCGAACGGGAUUAGAUACCCCGGUAGUCC